UCAGCCACUUUUUUUCUGGAUCGUUGGAGAGUAAGCAGCGUGAGCUUCUUUGGGACCUAAAAGCUUGUGGUUUUCUAUUUUAACCACUAGAUCAUUGAUUUUUUUUUUAAUAAUCAUUUACUUUUUGGCAACCAAAGACUAACCUUUUUUUUGGUAAUGUGUCUUGAAUUUACAACAAUGAAAGGAAACUUCCAGAAGGACAUCAAGGCCGCGUCUGAUCUCAAGAAAAAGUGGUCAAAAUCAAAGAAGACUUUUCUGCGUGCAAAUAUGGGAGAAAGGAGGCGGAAGGUCCGCGUUUGGUCGGCCAGGAGACCCCAGCUGAGUCCGGGCCGUGUCGACGGUAACGUUAAAGCUAGCGCCACGCGGAAGCAAAGUCACGUACCGUCUGUAGCCAUGGCACCAGGAAACACAACACAGUAUCUAAUGGACCUGGUGUACGCUGACCUAUCAUAUGUUUGUGAUGUAAGCCGUGAUUUCUCAACUCAGAAUAACGCUAAUGUAUCAUCUGAUGAGAGCGUUUUCUCAAUGUCGGACUCUGAUUACGACAGAUCUUUGGACUUCCAACAGAGAGACUUCGAGAACGUGUUCUACAGGAAUGAAAUCUGACGCGUUUUCCGAAACCUGACUUGGACUUCGUCGGAAUGAGACGACUGGGUGGGCAGCCGUGAACGCAUAAGACAGUAAUAACAUUGCGCAGACUCCAACUCAGGGAGGCGGAACGCUCUGCGUCACUGCUGCGUGAUGACGUGUACACCACGCCCCGCCGCCAGCAAGGCCGCCACCACGUGGCCAGCAGGUAAACACGCUCCACCCUUUGUGUACGCGGUGUAAGAGCGCUGCAGUAGCGUGUUGUCGCAGUGUAAUUGCUGAGAAAUGUGCAUGCAUUGUUCUGCCAACGGAUGCAUGUGUGUUUUGGGAGACUUUUACAGGUUGCUGAUCCUCCUCGGUGGAUCUCAGCUGUCUGUGCAACCCAUCCAGAGCCUUGGGAAAAGCCGCAUGGCUGCUUGCUCAUCGCUGCAGGGUAACUGUGGUAAAUGUUUGAAUGUAAAUCUACACGCACUCAGAGUUGCAACUCCUGUGAUCUGAUCUACUUUGAGAAAUUAUGUAAAUAUUGAUUGUAUUAAAUAUUAAAAUUUGUUAAUUAAGUUACA